rnacentral:rRNA from 1 species
GACGAACGCUGGCGGCGCGCUUAACACAUGCAAGUCGAACGGAAAGGCCUGCUUUCCCUUGUGGAUUGCGGGUACUCGAGUGGCGAACGGGUGAGUAACACGUGAGUGAUCUGCCCCCAGCUUGGGUAUAAGCCUGGGAAACUGGGUCUAAUUCCCGAUAGGACUGCAGGGUGGUGCCUGUGGUGGAAAACGAUUUUCUAGUGGUUGGGGAUGAGCUCGCGGCCUAUCAGCUUGUUGGUGGGGUAAUGGCCUACCAAGGCGGCGACGGGUAGCCGGCCUGGGAGAGUGGACGGCCACAUUGGGACUGAGAUACGGCCCAGACUCCUACGGGAGGCAGCAGUGGGGAAGAUUGCACAAUGGGCGGAAGCCUGAUGCAGCGACGCCGCGUGGGGGAUGACGGCCUUCGGGUUGUAAACUCCUUUCGACCGCGAGGAAGCCACCUGGUUGGAAGGGUGGUGACGGUAGUGGUAGAAGAAGCACCGGCUAACUACGUG